AGUGAACGCUGGCGGUAGGCCUAACACAUGCAAGUCGAACGGCAGCACAGGAGAGCUUGCUCUCUGGGUGGCGAGUGGCGGACGGGUGAGGAAUACAUCGGAAUCUACUCUGUCGUGGGGGAUAACGUAGGGAAAUUUACGCUAAUACCGCAUACGACCUACGGGUGAAAGCAGGGGAUCUUCGGACCUUGCGCGAUUGAAUGAGCCGAUGUCGGAUUAGCUAGUUGGCGGGGUAAAGGCCCACCAAGGCGACGAUCCGUAGCGGGUCUGAGAGGAUGAUCAGCCACACUGGAACUGAGACACGGUCCAGACUCCUACGGGAGGCAGCAGUGGGGAAUAUUGGACAAUGGGCGCAAGCCUGAUCCAGCCAUACCGCGAGGGUGAAGAAGGCCUUCGGGUUGUAAAGCCCUUUUGUUGGGAAAGAAAUCCAGCUGGCUAAUACCCGGUUGGGAUGACGGUACCCAAAGAAUAAGCACCGGCUAACUUCGUGCCAGCCGCCGCAGUAA
rnacentral:rRNA from 1 species